rnacentral:rRNA from 1 species
AUUGAACGCUGGCGGCAUGCCUUACACAUGCAAGUCGAACGGUAACGGGUCCUUCGGGAUGCCGACGAGUGGCGAACGGGUGAGUAAUAUAUCGGAACGUGCCCAGUAGUGGGGGAUGACUGCUCGAAAGAGCAGCUAAUACCGCAUACGACCUGAGGGUGAAAGGGGGGGAUCGCAAGACCUCUCGCUAUUGGAGCGGCCGAUAUCAGAUUAGCUAGUUGGUGGGGUAAAGGCCUACCAAGGCAACGAUCUGUAGUUGGUCUGAGAGGACGACCAGCCACACUGGGACUGAGACACGGCCCAGACUCCUACGGGAGGCAGCAGUGGGGAAUUUUGGACAAUGGGCGCAAGCCUGAUCCAGCAAUGCCGCGUGCAGGAAGAAGGCCUUCGGGUUGUGAACUGCUUUUGUCAGGGAAGAAAUCUUCUGGGCUAAUACCCCGGGAGGAUGACGGUACCUGAAGAAUAAGCACCGGCUAACUACGUGCCAGCCGCCGCGGUAAUAC